rnacentral:ncRNA from 1 species
AUAAAGGUUUUAUUUAUGCCUAAAAUUUUGUUUAUUAAAAAAUAUAAAAGGAUUAAAUUUAAUAAAUCUUUUCCAUUGAUUAGUAUUAAACUAAUAUUAUAAUUAUUAACUUAGUUAUUUAAUAAAUUUAGAGGUUAAAAUUUGUGCCAGCAUCCGCGGUUAUACAAUUUCUUAAAAUAAAAUUUAUAGGUUUAUUAGUUAAAUUAAAUAUUUAUAUAAUAAAUUAAUGAUUAUGUGAGGGUGAAAUUUUUUUAAUUGUUUUAUUUAUUAUUUAGUUAAUCUAAGAAAUUUUGGCUAUAAACUAGGAUUAGAUACCCUAUUAUACAUUAUUUAAAACAUAUUUAUCCUGAAUGGUAUUAGUUAAGCUCUUUAAAGCUCAAAGAAUUUGGCGGUAAAUUAUCUAAUUAGAGGAACCUGUGAGUUAAAUAGAUAAACCACAAUAGUAUUUACUUAGUAUAAAUAUUUGUAUACCGCUAUGAAUUAGAAUUUUUUGUCAAGAUAAUUUCUAUAUCUUUACUUUAAAGAAAAAUGUUAGGUCAAGGUGCAGUUUUUAUUAAGUUCUUGUGGGUUACUUUAAAUUUUAAAAAAAUACAAUAAUUAUUUAAUAAAUACUUUUAGUUAGGAUUUAACAGUAAAAAUAAUUAAUUAAUUAUUUUUAACUUUGCACUAUUUUAUGUACAUAUCGCCCGUCACUCCUAAGUAUUUAGGAUAAGUCGUAACAAAGUAAUCCUAUCUGAAGGUGGGGUUAGAAAG